UACGUAGGGUGCGAGCGUUGUCCGGAAUUAUUGGGCGUAAAGAGCUUGUAGGCGGUUUGUCGCGUCUGCUGUGAAAAUCCGGGGCUCAACCCCGGACUUGCAGUGGGUACGGGCAGACUGGAGUGUGGUAGGGGAGACUGGAAUUCCUGGUGCAGCGGUGGAAUGCGCAGAUAUCAGGAGGAACACCGAUGGCGAAGGCAGGUCUCUGGGCCACUACUGACGCUGAGAAGCGAAAGCAUGGGGAGCGAACAGG
rnacentral:rRNA from 1 species